UACGAAGGGGACUAGCGUUGUUCGGAUUUACUGGGCGUAAAGCGCGCGUAGGCGGAUCGCUAAGUCAGGGGUGAAAUCCCAGGGCUCAACCCUGGAACUGCCUUUGAUACUGACGAUCUGGAGAUCGGGAGAGGUUGGUGGAAUUCCGAGUGUAGAGGUGAAAUUCGUAGAUAUUCGGAAGAACACCAGUGGCGAAGGCGACUUACUGGACGACUGUUGACGCUGAGGUGCGAAAGCGUGGGGAGCAAACAGG
rnacentral:rRNA from 1 species